GACGAACGCAGGCGGCGUGCUUAACACAUGCAAGUCGAACGGAAAGGCCCUGCUUUUGUGGGGUGCUCGAGUGGCGAACGGGUGAGUAACACGUGAGUAACCUGCCCUUGACUUUGGGAUAACUUCAGGAAACUGGGGCUAAUACCGGAUAGGAGCUCCUGCUGCAUGGUGGGGGUUGGAAAGUUUCGGCGGUUGGGGAUGGACUCGCGGCUUAUCAGCUUGUUGGUGGGGUAGUGGCUUACUAAGGCUUUGACGGGUAGCCGGCCUGAGAGGGUGACCGGCCACAUUGGGACUGAGAUACGGCCCAGACUCCUACGGGAGGCAGCAGUGGGGAAUAUUGCACAAUGGGCGGAAGCCUGAUGCAGCAACGCCGCGUGCGGGAUGACGGCCUUCGGGUUGUAAACCGCUUUCGCCUGUGACGAAGCGUGAGUGACGGUAAUGGGUAAAGAAGCACCGGCUAACUACGUG
rnacentral:rRNA from 1 species